UACGUAGGGGGCUAGCGUUGUCCGGAAUCAUUGGGCGUAAAGCGCGUGUAGGCGGCCCGGUAAGUCCGCUGUGAAAGUCGGGGGCUCAACCCUCGGAUGCCGGUGGAUACUGUCGGGCUUGAGUACGGAAGAGGCGAAGUGGAAUUCCUGGUGUAGCGGUGAAAUGCGCAGAUAUCAGGAGGAACACCAAUGGCGAAGGCGGGUCUCUGGACAGUUCCUGACACUGAGGCACGAAGGCCAGGGGAGCAAACGGGG
rnacentral:rRNA from 1 species